AGAGGGUGUCAACCCCAGCAUACUUGCAGGACUUAACAUAAACAACUCCUUGAACUGCGACAAAGCUUCUAGGAAAGGGGUGAACCGGAACAACCGGAGGUUUAACAGGAGGGUGAACCGGAACAACCGGAGGUUUAACAGGAGGGUGAGCCGGAACAGGAGGUUUAACUGGAGGGUGAACCGGAACAGGAGGUUUAACUGGAGGGUGAACCGGAACAGGAGGUUUAACUGGAGGAUGAACCGGAACAGGAGGUGGAUUAACAGGAGCAGGAGGGUGAUGGUGAUGGUGGUGAGUAGGAGGCUUAGCAGGGGCAGGGGUAGGAGGGUAAUUGUGGUGAGAAGGUGAAGGAACAGGUGCUGGUGCUGGUGCUGGUGCUGGAGGGUGGUGGUGGUGGUGGUGGUGGUGUGGGUGAGGAGCAUUUGCUGGUGGGUGAAGAGGUGCUGGUGUGGGGGAGUGAACAGGGUGAGGGUGAGGGUAAGAGGGUGGAAGAGUUUCAAGUUCAAGCUCUACAGCAAACACAUUACUCACAGCUACGAGGAGAAACAGCAGCACUGAUGCCAAGGCUUUGGCCAUUGCUUCAAGCAAGUGAAGCAGAGAGAGAGAGAGAGAGAGAGAGAGAGAGAGGAGAGGAGAGUUGUGUUGGUAUCAUAUGAGUAUGGCAGUGGUUGAUUUAUAGGGGCUGAUGCCGGGAUUCUCUGCGGUUUUUGUUCAUAUCUAUACAAAAAAUUAAGGAUGUAUUCGUUUGUAGAAAAAUAUAAUUAAAAAUAAAUUAUUAUAUUUUAUUUUAAUUCAAAAUUUUCAUGUUAUAUCUUAAUUUUUUUUUACUAUACCAAAUAAAUCAUAAUUGUGAAGAAAAAAAAAAGUUUUUGCUUAUUAGAGUAACUAGUGCUAGCUAGCUUAGGUUUGCGUGAUGAUGGCAUCAGAGUGGAAAACUAGGGAAAUGGUAAUGUGAGGAAGGUAAAUUUGAAAAUCAGAGAUCCCAGGCUGAAUUAAAUGGAUCUAUGAGUCUGUGAUAUAUUACUGCUAGCCCUACGCUGAUGUUAACAUAUUAGUAGUAUUUGGGUAGUAUAGUACUCGUGAGACACAUUAUUAAUUAUUAAGUGUGUAUAUGAUUUUAUAUGGAAGAAUUGAUUUUAAGUUUAGAAUUAAUUUUAAGUUAAAAUAAUUUUAAGUAAUUUUUGUGUUAGAUAAAAAAGUUAUAUUAAAUUUUAUUUCUUAAAUAUAAAUUAUAUCAUUUUAAAAUUAAUUUUAUUCAAACUUAUUUUUUUGACGUUAAUCCAAAACUGCACAAAAUACAAAUUUUUUAAAAAAUAGGUUUAAUUAUAAUUUACUAUCUUUUUUAUGUUUUUUUUUUAAAUUUUGUCACCAAAAUAUUACGAAAUCUGUGCAUUCUGUCUCUACCUCCUAUAUUAAAUCUAAGCAUUUUUGUUUUAAAAUUGGAUGAUAAAAUAUACAAAAUUGUAAAAGUUAAGUAACAAAAUGUGUCUGAAGAAAAAAUGAAUCACAAAAUGAGCGAUCCAGAUUUUGAAAGAGUUGUGACAAUAUGUGCAAAAUCUAUAGUUUGAUAGCAAAUUUGGCAAAAGCAAUUAAGGAAAAAAAAGUACAUGAAUUUUAGUAAAUUUUGAACGGUAAAUAAAAUAUUUUAUAAAAAAUUGUCCAAAAAUAUAUUGAUAGGCUUUUUUUUUGAAACUUUGGUAGUUGGUUUUUGACACUUGUGUAAAAUUUGACUACCUAUAAUCAUAAAACUUUUUUAUUUAACCAUUUUAUAAGUGUUAUGUUUCUAUAAAAAAAAAAAAAGACAUGACAAAUUAUUAACAAAUUUGAUUCUUUAAAAGAAACAACUCGCACUUUUUAGUAUGGAAUUGUGUUAAUACAAUUAUAAUUAAGAAUACGCAAAUGGCAGAAUGAAUGCACAUGCAUAGGUGCUUGUUAUUGCACUUCUUACAAGGCUUAUGUAGAAGUUUCCAAGGACUUCGGUAAUAGCUUUGCGUUUUUUUAUUACUGGCUUUGAGUUUCUGAUAUGGCAUUUAUUAGGGAAGAAAACAGAAAUGACUUGAACAAAAAGAAAACCCACGAAAAGGUCAAAUUUUAUGAACACGAAAGAGGCGACAUGGAAUGAUGGAUAGAGAAGGCCAGAAGGGUUAGUAGCACUUUAAUGUGUUUUAUAUUGGUAAAAUCAACCCAUUUUUUUUGUUGAUAAAGUUAGAAAUCGAAAUAACCGAACACUUACAAAUUAACUGAUUUAAUUAAAAAUAUUUUAUAAAAUUAAUUAAUAAAUAUCAAAUGACAUAAAAAUAUAUAUUUAAUAAUUUUAAUAUUUGAAUUUAUUUGUAAUAACUUUUUAAUAUCAUCUCAAAAGGUAUGACUAUAAUUUUGUAUUACAAAAGAUAGAAUAGUAAAAAUUUGUGAUAAAAAAGAAGAAAGUAACAAAUGCUAUAAGUGAAUUAGUGGUUUUUUUAUUGGAAUUCAAAUAUAGAAAUGAAAAUAUAUUAAAAAUAAUGUAAUAAUUUUAACUAGAAAUAAAAAUAUGGUAGCCUAAUUUAUCUUUUACCUUCAUAUGUUCAAAUGUUAAAAUGAAAUAAUUUGUGUUAGAAUAAUUCUAUUUUAAAAAUAAAUUAGUAAUAAAACUUAAUGUAAUGUUUUAUCUAAUACAAAUUUAUUUGUUUAACCUCAAAACCAAUUUUAAAUUCAACGUAAAAUCAAAUAUCUAAACAUAUAUAACUAGAAUUACUUUUGUUACCAUUUUAACAUCAUGCACUAAAUGGAAUUGUACAAAAACAAAAUCCAGGUUAUGCAAUUGUCAUUAAUGAUAGUUAAACCUUUUGUGCAGACUCCAAUAUAUAAAUUAAACUUUGUUCAUUCUAAACAAAAUAUUAUUUAACAACUUCAAUAAAAAUUGAAUUUAUAUAAAUAUCAUCCUUACUUUUCUUCGUUUGCACCUCAUUUUCCCGUAAAUUUUGAUGGAAAAGGACAUUAAUAUAAGGACAAAAAUUGUUCGGCCACGAACGGUCUAAAAUAAAGCCGUUUGAACGUAUAUACAGUAUUAUCCUGUCCACCUUACAAGAAACACAAUUAGAACACAAAUUAGUUUUUAUUGUUAACUUUUUUAGAUAAACGUUCUUAUUGUUAUUUUAUUUCUUCGAGUUUCGUAAAAGAAACAUCUAAAUAGAUAUAUUUUUUGUUUUUUUACUGAAUAAAUGUAUUAUUUAUUAAGAAGAUUUAGUUGGAUUGAUUCAUCAGCGCGUGUAAUAUAGUUAUAAUGGUUAAUUAUUUUUCUUUUUAAAAAAAUCAACAGGAUAAAAAGGAAAAUAAGUAUAUACUAGCAUUGAAAAGAACAGAAGAACCAAAAUAUUAUUUUCGAUAAUGUAACAAAAAGGAUAGUGAUACGCUCCUAUUGAUUAAGUUUCUGUAUGCAAAAUCAUUGAGCCAUGCUGCAGACAUGUUCUAUCUUUCUGGGUUAGUGAUGGGCACAUCUUGUGUGCUCCCCCAUUAAUAAUAUAUUUUCUUUGCUUCUUAAAAAAUGCUACUUUUAUUUAACAAUUUAUCUUUUUUACAAAUUAAUACAUACUACAAUCUAGUCUAUUAUAUUGCGUAGUUUAGGGUUUUUUUUUUAAUUUGUUUACACAACUUAACAUUAUUUUAUAGUUUUGAACUUUCAUUGUUUAUUGUUCUUAUUAUGGGUAAAAAAACAAAAAACUUAAACAUUUAUUAAUGGAGAGGUAGAGGUAAUGAUUAUUCUUUGUCAGAUUUUGUUAAUCAUUGUCCUAAGGAAAAAGGAAAUAAAAAAAAAUUAAUGUAUAAAUUAUAAAAUAGUGUAAAAAAAAUCAUGAAAAAUAUGGUGUCAGCCUUCUUAAUUUCUUAACUAAUAUCUUUGAGACAUUUAUUAGCAUUUGUUUUAGUUAUAUAUUUAGUAAACAUUUAUUAAAUUUAUUGGAGGGAACUCCAAAAUAAUGCACAUUAAUUUACUAAAUGUAUUAAGACAUGGAUCCCGUCCGUGAAUCCUGGUGCUUAGUUUGUUGUCAUUUGCCACUACAUUUUAUGCUCAAUUUGUUUAUAAGCUUGCCAUGCCCAUCUGAUAACAACUCAUUUCCACUUUUUGGAGUUACAUACAAGAUUGCCGUCAUUUAAUUUUUGAAAAUUUUAUUGAUUAAGUAAGGUUUAUCAUCAAUUUGAUGGAACAUAUAUAUACUAACAUUUCCAUCUAAAUUCUACAAUUAUUAUUAUUAUUAUUAUUAUUAGUAGGAUAAAUUGUAAUUUUUUUCUCCUUUAUAUUUCCAUCUAAAUUCUACCUAUGUUUAUUUAUUUUAUUUUAUUAUAUUUUAAUUAAUUAAAUUAUUUUUAUGGUACCUUAAAUAAAUAUGUUAGGUCUAAAAUUUAAUUGGAUCAAAAUAAAAGAAAUAAAACAUAUACAAAAUUGAGAAAUGAACCUAAAUUAUAAAUUUUGUAAAAAAGUGGACUAAAAUCACAUAAAAAAUUAAACAAACUAAAAUUGUAACUUAUUAUUAUUAUUUUAUUAUUAUUAUUAUUUGAAAAUCAAACAAUUCUCAAAGUCAAAAACAUAAUUCGCGUGUUUUUUUAAAAAAAAAUUAAGAAUAAAAUUCAUUGAUAUAAAAGUAUAACAACCUUGAUUACCUUUAACCAAAUAUAUAGAAACUAUACACAUAUUUCCAAUAAGUAAACUAACAUCCAAACACAAACUUCACUAACCACAACCAAACCACAGAAUUACAAUUUACACCACUCUGAUGUUUUUUUUUCUCGGUUAUUUAGUUUAUGCUUUUAUUUAUUCUUUAUAUAUGUCCCAUUAUAAUGUAAGAAGAAAAAAUAAGUAUUAAAGUAAGCCUUGUUUUAGUUUUUUUAAUAUAAUAAUAACCACUUUUUCCUACUAAUACUCGUAAUAAGUAGUAUUAUUUUAACUUUUCAAUGUAAUAUUAGUCUAAAUUAGUCACGUACAAAACUUUUCAAGCUCAUUAACAGCACCCCGGAUACACAAGGCUAAAAUUGAUUAUCAUGUUGCAACUUUGAUCAUCAGAAUCUGAACAGAUUGAACUUCCAAAAUUGCUCUAAGAGUCUCAUUUCUUGUUGAAGAAGCUAGAUAGUUGACUACAAAAAUGUAAUCAAACCACUAAAUUAAUGAAGGCAAACAUAAUAAAAAAGAAAUUCAUGUCACAAAGUUUUAGGCUAAAACCUUCACAUGGAACAAUCAAUGCUAUCUUCUAGAUCUGUUUUUGAAACUUCUCAAGCAAACAUAUUAAACUUAGUUGGAACUCAUCAAAUACCACAAGCUGGAUAAAUUCAGCUUCAUCCCUACCCAUUGCAAACUAGAGAGUUAAAAAUUUUGACUAACCCAAAUUGUUUGUAUGGGCUUCCUGGGCUGAUUGUUUUGUUGGGCCUACAGUUUGCAAUUUUGCACCCUGUAUUAGUUUGUUGGUGUUGAAAUUUAGGAUGGAGAUGAAAAAAUUAACUAGUUGGAUAUAAUUUUAAGGACUGAUAAAAUUAGAAUACUGAUAUAAUUUUAUUGUUGUAAAAUAUAGAUUUUGUGGCUAAUAUCAGAGCCUUAGAGCUGUACUUCCACACUUUACAAAUGAUAUACCAAUUUUUCUUUAUAAACCUUUUCACCUUUUUAUUUUUCAGAUGUUUCACAAUAUAUAGUUUUUUUCACCUUUUUCUUUAAGAAUAAUUGAAUUUUUUAUUUUUUUUUUGCAAAUAACAGUAAUGAAACAAUAGUUUUAAGAAGGAUAUAUAAAACUGAUCAACAAUCUUACAAGUCUUAUCAAUUAUCUGGUGGGCGACAAAGGAAAACCAAAAAAAGAAAAAACAAGGAACAAAAUCAGUUCUUUAGAAAACACACCCCUGGUGCUUUGGUGCAUCCGCAUGUAACCAAGUGUCAUUAAUCUUUUCUUAUAAAUUGAAAAGCUUAAAUACAUGUCACCUACGUAUAAAUUGGUUGGAACUAUGGACACUUGGUAGUCUGGAUUACUUAAUACUAUUUUUUUGCAAACAAAAGAGAUAGCAAUUAAUCCAAUGUGAAGGGAAGGGGAAUCCAAGAACAUGAAGCUCUGCCCAGAAGUUUAAGAACCCAUGUUUUUUGCCGAGAUAUCCGCAUAUUGAUUUCCUUCUCUAUGGAUAUGCUGGAUACAAACUAUAUUCCCGAUUAUAAGUUGUAACAUGUCUCUGCAGAUUGAUAAAUAAUGGCAGCAAACAUGUUAAAAGGUUGAAAAUUGCGUACCAUUACAAGGUCAUUCGGUUAAUGCAUGGUUUUAUAGAAUUUUAUAUAACUUUGUUAUUAUAAACAAAAUAUGUAUCUUACUAGGUACGUACUGUUUCUUUUGAUUAAGAGGACUAUCAACAACAUAAGCUAGCAUAUUAGUGGUGAGGGCUCUCAGGCUGCCACGUACGUAGUAGGUCUUUGCGACCACAAGGGCAAGGCUAAAGGUGGAUGUGUGAAAAGAGGUUGUUGGGGGCAAGAUCUGAGGUUGGUGGCAUUAAGAAUUAAUUAAGAUGGUGUAACGUCCCUCACUCUGGAAUCUUAAGCUCUUUUUUCUUACGAGUUUGCAACCCAAAAGGUCGUUCUUCAAUUCUUCUACAUGAGUACGUAGGACAUUAGAGUUGAGCAACAUUAUGUAUACUUCGAAGGUCGUGUGUAUUUUACACCAAAAACAAUUUUACUUGAUGAACAGUAUAAAAUUACUAUGAUAAAACUUUUGUUUUAAAUGAUUUAUUUGAUAAUUGAAUUAAAUAAUUUAAUUUAAUUAAAUAAAUAUUUUAAUGAAAUAUUAUUAUAUUCUUCACUGAAAAUAAGGAUAUAAUUAAUAUAAAUAAAAAGUAUUAUUUUAUAAAUAUGAAAAUUGUUCAUGAAAUAAGAAUAAUUAAGAUUCCACUGUGACAUGCCAAGAUCAUAUUAUGUGCUUAGUUGUAAAAAAAAAGUGAGAUAGUUUUUAUUUUCAUAUAUAAAAAUAAAGGAAUAUGAAAUUAUUUUAAAUAAAAUCUCUUUUUUUAAAAUGUCUAAAUUUGUAUAUCUUUAACUUUAUACAUAAACAUAUAUGUAAGAACAAAAUGUACCACACAAACUACAAAAAUUCAAGCUAAAUUUUUAGAUCUGAAAAGUUAAAAAAAAUAGUUUAUUCUUUAGAAUUUGACUCAAAGUGUUUAAUACGUAGAGUCUAUGUAUUAUUAUUAAGAAAAAAUUUGUAUAUCUAUUUAUCGAGUGUAUAAAUUUAUUUAUUUAUUAUUAUUGUAUAUUUUGAAGGUAAAAUAAAUCUUAUUUUUUUUUAUUAUAAGUGUUGAAAAUACUUCUAUCUAAACAACCGAUAUAAAUAUCUUGGGUUUCCUCUUUCCUUGGUGCCAAUUUAAUGUAUUGAUAUAAUUAAAUAAAAAUCACAGGCCUAAUGAAAAAUCAUUAUAAUAACUAAUGAACACAUGCAAGGGAAAAAUAUACAUAAUUAGGAUCGAGCUAUACAAUAUACGGAUCAAAAUUAAUAUCGACACACACAUUCACUAAAAUGAUAAAAAAAAUACCUAAAUGAAUCGAAAGCUGCAGUUAUAUAUCAUAAACCUAAACGUUGUUCAUUUUCAUCAUAUAUAGAGAGAGCGUGACGUAAAAGAGAUAUGAUCACUUACAUCAUUUACUGACUUUUAAUCAGAUACUUUUACUCUAAAAUAGAUAUAUAACCAUAUAUACUUGAAUUGAUAAAAUAGUAGAAUUUAUGCAGUUUCUUAACAGAUCUGCAUUUUCCAAAAUGCAAAUUUGGCAUGGAAAAACCCUCUAAUUUGUUUAGGAAACAGAAAGAGACCUGGAACAAAAAUAUCGAUUCAUGAAUUAAUUUGCAUGCAUCUUCUCUGGAUUAACAAUUAUUGUCAACUACCAGUCCUUCGUUAUUCUGUUAAUUCUUUCUUUCCCAAAAGAGACUUAGAUAUCAAUAUCAUCCAUUAUAUAGAUAUAUCGUAUAUGAAAUCGGAACACAUGUUUAAUAUCCAAACUAUAGUAACAAACUAAACAACCUUUUCAUCAGAUUUCACAAGUUCUAUAUAUAAACAUACAAGUGCGUGCUCACACCCACGUAAAUCGAUCAAAUCUUAAUUGUGAAGCCAACGCAAGACAGUGAAUAUGAAAUUGCUUACUAGAUAAAACGGUGGUAUAGUAUCCUCUUGAGAAUAUUCAAUUUAGAUUUCCACCAACAAUUAAUGCUAUCAGCCAUUGAAAUACUUCUUUAAUUUCUCAGAUAUCCUCAAAGCUCCAUUUGCAGAUUCCCCUACCUGAAAAAUGCAAAAACAAUAAAGUUACAUAAAAUUCAUAGGGCAGAGGGCAGAAAGGGGAAUUUAUGUUUCACCUGAUGACAGUGUAUUGUAUGAAAAACUUCAUUUUCAACAACGGUAUAACUGGCAUUAACAACAUCUGAUCCUUCUUCUUGAAGAACACGAACGGUCUCAUUGAACAUGAAUUGACAAUCCAACCCAGUUAUUAGAAAAACCUCUAAAGUUGAACCCAUUUGUUGGAUUUUAAAUUGUGGAGACUUCAACAAUCCCAUAUUCAUGCUAACAUUUUUUGAUCUUUUAAUGUCUAUUAGGUUGUUCUUUUUCUCCUUCAUUUUCUCUAAUUUAAUCUGUAAAUUCUUUAUGUAAUUUGUGGCUUCACCUAUCUGAUCCGGCCGCGAAAUGGCCUCCUACAAAAAGAUUCAAAUAAAAUUGAGACGUUUGUGUGCAUAUAAUAAUAUAAGAGCAGUUGGUUAAGUAAUUAUAAGAGAAAGAGAGUAAUAAUACCCUUGAGCUUUGAUGAGGCACAACUGAGUUGAGCUUGAAGAAAAGAUCCUUCAAAUGAUUUCUUCUAUUCUGUUCAAUGAAUUUUCUAUCAGUUCUUGAUGAUGAACUAGGGUUGUUCUCCAUUAAUUAAUAUCCCUUAUGAAUGCAAUAGCUCAUCCGCUAGAGAACUCUGAAUACUCAUCAUUGAUUUCAUUAAAAUAUAAUACUUUUCAGACAAGGGUUGCAAGGUAAUUGGAGUUUCUCGUGGCUUUUAGAAAAGCUAGUUAGUAUCAUUGGAUGCUACUGAUAAAGGUUCAUGUGAUAUAGAUGUGGUGGGGCACCAUUUUGUCGGAUAUAUAUACAUUUUUUUUCCUUUUUUGGUUCCUAUGAUGAACACUAAAUAUAAAUGCCCUAUCAAAAUCCACCAAUGUGGGCUUACUAAUUUUGGACCUCCACCAAUGUUAAAGAAAUAUAUACACAUAUAACAGCAAUUUAAGGAUUAAAAUAUUUCUUAUAUUCUAUUAAUAUAUUAUAUAUUCGAUUUUUUUAUUGAUGAUAUAAAACAACAAUGUAGGAAUUUCAGCUGUAACAGUUUUUAGGUGUAAUAGAUAAUUGAAACUGGCAUUUUACGUACUGCUCUGAAGUAGUUAAUGACUUUUUCACUUAUUAUUAUAUCAGAGAUUAUAAUUUUAAAUAAUUACUAUAUAUCUAAUAUUUUAUUGAUACAUACAUAAAAAUGAUAUUGUUGUACCUACAAAAGAAUAAUUAGGUAAUCUUUCUUCUUGCUAACUCUUUGUCUAAGGUCUUAUGCUUCUAGUGAUUGAUGCUUGACUGUAAAAGGAAGGAAACUCAAGUCGGAUUUCAAAUAAGAAUAAUAAACAAGCAUAUUUAAUAUGUUAUGAAUAGUCUUUCCUUGAUAUUCUCACAUGUAGUUAUACAUAUUUUAAUGGGUACUUGAACCUAUGGGCAUGAAUACUUAUGUGUUUUAUAGAUACUUUCCUGAUUCAUAAUCAGGUACUCUGUUAGACUGAGUACUUGGAUACUCUUUAGGAAUAACUUGUUUUCUGUGUGUUAAGGUUGAAAGAUAUUUACGACUAUUCGGUAUGAUACAAUUGUGAUGUACAAUACACCAGAAACAUAUAUAAUAUAAAAAAAACUAUCCUCUAUUAAUGCACAAAAAAAUCAAAACUUUAAGAUUAAUUUACAUCCGCUAAUAUAACGCAAAUUAUCAGUAUAAAUAUUAUACAUGGGUUUGUAUUUUAUCAUUUUUUUGAUAACGAGUGGUUGAUUAUUAUGAGAAAUAAAAAAAUAAUUACACUAUUACAUUUAAUUAACUCUUCAAAUAAUGUAAUUAAUAGAUUAACCAAUAAAAGGUGGUAUAUAUAUAUAUAUAUAUAUAUAUAUAUAUAUAUAUAUAUAUAUAUAUAUAUAUAUAUAUAUAUAUAUAUAUAUAUAUAUAAAAUAAAUAAGAUGUUGCUUUGCAUAUAUAGCUAGCUAGGUUGUAGUGAGAACUAGGAAACAUUAAGUAUGAAAGUAAUAAGACAAAUGCUAAUCACUUGAUUAAAUUAAUUCAUUAUGGUAGUGAAAGUAAUUAAAAUUUUGCGAAUUUCACAUAUACUUUAUUUUAUUUUUCACGACAAUCAAAUCAUUUAAUUUUUUUUUUAAAAAAAGUAUAAUUUUCCUCCUCAUUUUAAUUUUUUCAACCCGAAGACAGCAUAACAAAAAUUUUAAUUUCGUACCCGAGGCACAUAUACCCCAUGUAAGAGGACGAUCACCCCAUUGCUAAGGAUAGAGUUGAUCAGCAUUACUCUGAGACCAUGGGAGAUGGAGUAGUGAUCAACUUUUUUUUCCCUUUUAGUUGGUGGUUAGGGGAGAGUGAUGGGAGGUAUCCUAGGGGAGCCAGAAGUAAAGCCUUGUUUUAGAGUCUAGGGUUUAAAUCCAAAAAUAAAGAAAAAAAAUUAUUAUCUCAUAAGUUAAAACUAGUUUAUACAUUUCUUCAUAAGUAUUUAUAGAGAGAGAAAAAUAGAAAACUAAAAUAAAUUUAUUUCAUAAGUUAAAAUUAGUUUAUACAUAAGUUAAUUUUAACUUAUAAGAAAAACUUAUCUUUUUUCUUAUUAUUCUUUGUAAAGUUUUUAGGGAUAAUAAUCUUAUUUAAAUAGGAUCUUAAUACGAACGAAUUUAACUCACUUGAUUAGUAUUAAUUCUUGUUAUUUCCAAUUUGGAACAAUUAAAUAGUACUGGCAUUAAAGAAAGAAAAUCUGCAGAGUUUGGAUUUCACGAUUAAAGAUUGAAAUGGACGUAUAUCAGGAUAUGUCGAUGUGUAUUCUGCUUUGUACCUGCAAAUUAUUUCAAAUCGUCGCCUUUUACACUUUAAGGAGAGUACUUUUCAAACCUUUGAAUGUAUCUGAAAAUUCACUAACGCGUGAUCUUUUUCUCUAGCUGGAUUUGAAUCUGUUCUAUUUUGGUCUUACAACUUAGCUAUAAUUUUAAGUUUGGGCUGGAUUGCUCCAACUAUAUGUGCAGUAAUCAAAUAUUAUAUCUCGUUUUCAUAAUUUGGGAAAUGGUGGCACUUUCUAAUCCCCUGGAUUACAAGCAACAUAAAACAUCCGCUACAACAUAAUUACUUAACAAGUAUUUUGCUGUUAAAAGAAUCUACUUCAUUUGAUUAAGCAAGAGUAUAUGUGUGAAUUAUUGUCAGUUAAACUAGAGUGUAUGUAUGAGUUAUUGUAAAUUCUAUAAUAUUAUUUUUUAUUUCAACAGAUUAAAAAAUAACUGUAUUUUACUCGGUUUUCAAGCAAAAGAAAACCUAGUGAUGCUGAUUGUUGAAUUUUGCACCAAAUUGAAACUGUGACAAUUUCGCUACUAAGUACUUUAUCAUUCAGGAAUUAAUGUUAGCGGAAACCACCUCUAUGCUCCCCUUUUUACGGGUAACAGUUUUCAAACAAUUAAUAAUAUGUGGCAGUGGUUGAUGCUUGCCUUAUGUCAUGCUUCGACCAAGAGCACUUAUUUUUAGAAUUUUUUAGAGUCAUCCCACACUUUUAAUUGUCAAAAUUAGAGAAUUAAAUUAGAAUUAUGCAUUUUGGAUUUGGCACUUUAAUGUUAAACAUAGAAUCUUUUGGGUUUUUUUGUGUGAUCACCUUCGUUCUUAUGUGAGCCUUUAGCUUCUUAGUUAUUAAUAAUUUGAUCCAUGCUUUAUAGUCAUCCCCACGCUUUAAUGUUUUAUAUAUACAUAGAUAGAUAGACAUAUUUGGGUGUGCGUAGGUUAUAUAUAUAUAUAUAGGGAACUUUGUCAUAGCUAAGUUGGGAUACGCCUAGACAUGGGUAUUAAGUACGUGAGUUCUUAAUUAGGUACGUACCAUGUUCUUUUUUAUGAUUUGGAGAGAUUUUAAUUUGUAUGAAUUGAAAGUUGAUAUACUCGACAGGUGUUCUCUGACUCGUAUAUAAUCAUAAGUUAAUUUUAACUUGUAAAAAAAAUAAUUUCAUUUUUUUAUCAUUUAUUUAUUUAUUUUAGAAGUACUUUUUUAAAAAAAUUAUCCACACAUAUCCUAAAUAGGUAUUACAUGGGUAUAAGUACGUAGUCAUCAAAUCAUUAUAAUUAAUAUACACAACAUACCCCAAAAUAGCUUCACACAUCCAAGUUCUCUGUGUAAAGUAAUCGUACGGCAAGCUAUCAUUAGUGUAAAAAUCACGUUUCAGCUUUUGACGCCAAAGAAACAAAAUGUCAUUGUAGUCUCAACUCAACACGCUAUGCUGUAACCUUUGUGCCUUGUGGGGUUUUAGUCUCCAAAAACUAACACAAAGAAUUGGCUCCUUCAUUUUGUCGUAUCUAAAGAUUUUGCAUGCACAAUAAUUGUCAAGUGCACCCUAUAAUAAUUACCCAUGUUCAUGGCAACUAAAACUAAAAGGAAUGGUGUCCUUAUAAAGUGGUUUUAGGUCUUGGUACUUAAGCCACAAACUGGAAAAAGAAACCAUUGGAAAACGACUAUUCCAGAACUCGAAUUGAAUUUGUUAUGUUGAAUUCAGACACAUAUCUCAGUGAUCUACAGUAUUUAUUGCAGGACAGUGAAACACUGUUAGUAAGCAUUGGCUUUCAUCUUUUAUCAUUUGUGAUGGGUUCUAUUGGGUGGAUAGGGAGAAUUGAACAUUGGAAACCUCAUGCAAAGUAAUAAUGGAAGUAUAUCUUUGGGGAGUUUCAUUCCUUUCAUAUGUGAGGUGCCUCUAUGCAUAUAGGUGGUUCACUUUAAUGAGAUAAAAAUGUCUUAUACUGGUCCAAAGAAUUAUUGUAUAUGGUACAUUUUCUUUUCUUUUACGGGAGACCUUUUUGUUAAGAUGUGACUGUUGGAACUGUCUAACAAAUUAUAAUAGAUAAGAUUUUUAUGUUAAUUCAACCCCUCUUUUUGUUAAGUUCAUAAUUAAUUUAACCCUCCUUUCUUAAUUAUUCUGAGGUCACUUGAUCCAACAAUCAAAGAUGCAAAGGGCAAAGACGUAUUCAGGGUGAAAAUGAAGGCUAAAAGCUAUGCUCUAAAUCUGAUGGAGGAGAAACAAAUAGCUUUUUCAAGCAUGACCACCAAUGUUGAACUAUGGCACAAAAGACUCGGACACUUCCAUCUUGUUGGACUUUUAUACAUGCAAAAACAUGCCUUGGUGAAAGGUAUGUCAAUGCUUGAAGACAAGUUAGCCGAUUGCGCAGCUUUCCAAUAUGGUAAGCUAGUCAGAAAACCAUUUCCUCAAUCAGCUAGGAGAGCAACUCAAAAGCUGCAAUUGGUUCACACAAAUGUUGGGGGACCUCAGAGAGUAUCAUCUUUAAAUGGUAAUAAAUACUAUAUUAGAUUUAUUGAUGAUUAUACUAUAUUUUGUUAGAUUUAUUUCUUUAAAUCCAAGACUAAGGUUGCUAAUAUUUUCUGGAAAUUUAAAGCAUUGGUGGAGAAUCAAAGUGGUUGUAGGUUGCAAACAAUAAGGUCUGACAACGGGAAGGAAUACAAAUAUGAUGUUUUUGAUAAAUUUUGUGAAGAAGCUGACAUUGAGCACCAACUCAUCGUACCUUACACCCCACAACAAAAAAGGUGUGAGUGAGAGAAAAAACAUAAGUAUCAUGGAGAUGACAAGGUGUAUGCUGCAUGAAAAGGAGUUGCUAAAGGAGCUAUGGGCAGAGGCUACAAACACUAUAGUAUUUUUGCUGAAUAGACUACCUACAAGAGUUUUGCACAAAAAAACUCCAUUUGAAGGCUGGUUUGGUUACAAACCAGAUUUACAAAAUCUAAAAAUCUUUGGUUGUGUUUGUUUCUCUUAUGUUCCACUAGUUAAAAAGGACAAACUUGAUAAGAAGGCAGAGCCCGGUGUUUUCAUUGGAUACCGCAACACCUCCAAAGCUUACAGAAUUUUCCAACCCCAAAAUGGGAAAAUUCUUGUGAGUAGAGAUGUCAAAUUUAUGGAAGAUCAACAAUGGAGUUGGGAUGAGCCAAUAAGGAAGCAGCUGCCAGAAAUCCCACAGUUCCUUGAUGAUGAUGAUGUAGAUGACAUUCCUGUUAAAGGUACAAGAUCUUUAUCUGAGAUUUAUCAAAAGAGCAAUGUAGUUGUCCUAGAACCUGCAGAAUUUGAAAAAGCUAAAAAGGAUGACAAGUGGAUAAAUGCUAUGAAGGAAGAGUUGAAAAUGAUCGAAAAAAAUGACACGUAGAAGCUAGUGAACAGACCUCAACACAAACAACCUAUAGAGGUAAAAUGGGUUUAUAGAACCAAACUUAAUCCAGAUGGUUCUAUAAAUAAAUACAAGGCCAGGUUGGUGGUAAAAGGCUAUGCUCAGGUGUUUGGAGUGGAUUUUUCAUAAACCUUUGCUCCAGUUGCACGUCUUGAUACAAUUAGAAUGCUACUUGCCUUGAUUGCACAUAAAAGGUGGAAAGUUUAUCAUUUAGAUGUAAAAUCUGUCUCUCUAAAUGGUUACUUGCAGGAGGAGAUUUUUGUAGAGCAACCUGAGGGGUUUCAAAUCAAAGGAGAAGAGCAGAAAGUUUACAAGUUGAAAAAGGCAUUAUAUGGUCUUAAACAGGCUCCUAGGGCCUGGUACAGCAAGAUAGAUGAUCAUUUUCAGGAUCUUGGAUUUGUCAAAAGUCCAAGUGAGGCUGCAUUAUAUGUGAAAUUGGUAGAUGCAAAUUCAAUCAUUAUUGUUGUCUAUGUUGAUGAUUUACUUGUGACAAGAAGUGAUGAGAAACUCAUAAAGGAGUUUAAAGUUGAAAUGCUUAAAGCAUUUGAAAUGAAAAAUCUUGGCUUGAUGAGUUUCUUUUUGGGAAUAGAGGUGAAACAAGAUCAUGGUGGGAUCCUCAUUCACCAAAAGAAGUAUGCAAGGGAAAUACUCAAGAAGUCUCUUAUGGAGGACUGCAAAAGCACUACAUCUCCAAUGAACCAAAAGGAGAAAUUUAGCAAGGAUGAUGGAGCUGAUAAAGUUGACGAAAUGCAUAACAGAAGCUUAAUUGGUUGCUUAAUGUAUCUUACUGUAACCAGACCUGACAUUUUGUUUGCAGUAAGUAUACUUUCAAGGUUCAUGCAUUGUGCUAGUGAAGUUCAUCUUCAAGCUGGCAAACGAGUUGUUAGAUAUGUUAAAGACACUUUAGACUAUGGUAUAAUGUACUUUCAUUCUCAUAAUUUUAAGCUUCAUGGAUAUUCUAAUAGUGACUGGGCAAGUUGUAUUGAUGACAUGAGAAGCACCUCUGGUUACUGUUUUUCCUUUGGUUUUGGAGUUUUUUCUUGGUGUUCUAAAAAGCAAGAAGUUGUAGCUCAAUCAACUGCAGAAGUAGAGUAUGUAGCUGUUGUUGCUGCAGUGAAUCAAGCUCUUUGGAUCAGGAAAAUUAUGACAUAUUUGCAUAUGAAACAAGAAGAAAGCACACAGAUUUUUGUGGACAACCAGGCUGCAAUCUCAAUUGCUAAUGAUCUGGUGUUUCAUGGCAAAACUAAGCAUUUCAAGAUAAAGCUUUUUCUUCUAAGAGAAAUUCAAAGGGAAGGAGAAGUGAAGUUACUGUACUGCAAAACAGAGAAUCAAAGUGCUGACAUUCUGACCAAGGCACUUCCAAAAGCCAAAUUUGAAUACUUGAGACAAAAGUUUGGAGUUUGCAAUUCCAAAGUCAAGGAGGAAUGUUAAGAUAUGACUGUUGGAACUGUCUAACAAACUAUAAUAGAUAAGAUUUUUAUGCUAUUUUUUAAGAAAAAUAAAAGUCAUAUUGACUAAUAGGAUAAAUCAAUUUUGAUCCUAUUCUUUAGGCAUGAUCUGUUAGUGAUGUUAUCUUUCUAUUAGUCGUUACUUUCUUUUAUAUGUUUUUAAAUACGUUGUUUCAUAUCGAAAUAAAAUAAGUCUUUACCGUCUCAAUUUCUUUCUUUACGUUUCCUUCCAUUCUUUAAUAUUUCUGGCUACUGUUGUUAACAAAAAAAUGACACUUUUUUUUACAUGUGGUAGAUCUAGCUCCAAGUUUUUCCACCCCAUGAAAUUCAUAUCCUAAAUUUUUUUUGUAAAUAGGGUAGUUCAAAAGGCAGAGAAACGACAUUGACAAAAAAUAUUUUGGAUUCAAUUUUUUUUUCUUUUAUGAAAGUCAUCCAUAAAUAUUUUUUAAAGUUCUUGGUAUGAUAUUAUUACGUACGUUAUGUUUUUAUUUGGUAAUUAAUAUGACAACAUCCUGUCCUUAGCCUUUCAAGCUCUUUAUAACUUUUGUUUCAUUCUUAUAGGUACAUUAUAGAUGUUGCUAUUAGUUAGACAAAUGGCAAUCUUUCAUUAAAUAAUUAAUUUAUACGCCAAUAUACUAAAACAAUUUGUUCCUUUAGUACAGCUUCAAACCUAUAUGGUUGAUCCCGGUUAUAAAUUUAUACCACAUAUAGAUUUAUAAGUGAAAAAAGUAAGUUUUUGUAUGGUUUCACAGGAAUAAUAUGAUUUUUGAUGGGCAAUCUCUGGAGCAAGACUGUGUUUUGGAAACUAUCAAACGCAAAUCCUGGUUGUGGUUGGAUUCUUAUGUCAAACAGUUCAAAUACUCCUUCUUCGAAUACUGGCAUUCGAAUGAACCCACUGCUAUGCCUCAAAUGGUUAUGAAGCGUGAGGAAAUUAAGGGAAGCAGGGACAUGGAUAUAAAAAGCUGCAUGUAGAGAUUUAUGAAAUUUGGUUAUGGGUAUUUAUCAUGGGAAAAGGGCUGUUAAAAAUUACCAAGUAUGAUACCUGGGUUUAUUUUGUAAUAUAUGGAUCUUGGGAUAUUCGCUGGUAAAAUAUUUGCCAGGGGAUAUUAUCCUUUAUAUGAUGCUCCUUGUUUUGUAAUUGGUAUCUUUGAUACCCUUAAUAAAAUGUUUGUUUGCAGAUAAAAAGAAAAACUAGAAUUCGUACAUUUAACUAUGAUGUAUAUACAAUAUCUUGCAAACGAAAUUCUAUAUAUUUUUAUUUAUUUUUUUGUUUUUAAUCAUUAUAAGGCUUGAUGUUCGUGAAUUGAAUGAUCAGUUUUAAAGAGAAAAAUUAUUAUGUUGAAUCACUUUGAUUUUCUUAGUUCAUCAUCCAACUAAUUUGAUUCAAAAUUUUAAUUUGAUUUAAUUUGGUUUCAUUUAAAAUGACUUGGAUUGACUCAGUUUUUUAUUUUAAUCCUAUUUUUUCUUUGAGAAAAUAUUAAAUAAAUGGUAAGAUUUAUAAAAUACAGUAAAAAAUAAUUUAAAAUGUCCAACAUUCCAUUUAUAUGUCACUAUAUAACUAAUGAUAGUACAACUUCUUAAAUAUAUAUUAUAUCAAAAAUAAAUUUAGACAAUUUGAUAAUUAUAUUUAUGCAUCAUAACUAAAAGAGUUAGUUUUAUAAAAAAAAAAUCUCAAAGAGUUAGUAAAAAAAUUAUCUUUUAUAUAUUAAAUAUGUUUUUCAUAAAUAAGUAUAAAUUAUAUGAUAAUUUAAUAAAUAUAUAAGAAAUAAAAAUAUCAACAUGAAUGAUAUGAAUUUAUAAUAAAAAUAUAUACAUGUAUAAGUUCAAUUUGAAUUGGAUUGAAUCCAUUUUUAAAAUUAAAUUUGAAAUCCAAUACAAUUCAAUAAAACAUUCCAAUUUUUCACUUUUUUUAUUCAUUUGGUUUCUGGCUGCUUGGACUAGAUUUUUCCCAUCGGAUUGAAUCAUUUUAUGAAUACCCCUAGCUUAAUUGCACUUUUGUUACCGUAAUUGUGUGAUUUAAAUCCUAUACUCCAAUUCUGGAUUGGAUCUUCAAAUCUUACAAUUGUAUAAUUUUAAUCCUCCCAUGAAUAUUUGGUAAAUAUUUAACAAAUAUUGCCAACACACAUUAGAUGAUAAAAUGUCAAUAUCAGUGUUGGCAUAUAUGUUGGCAUGUAUGAUGAUAUUGCUUAAUUAUACUUUUUGUUUCUUAGAUAUUAUAAUUAUGAGUGAUCAUAAUUGAAUCGUGAUUAACAUAUGUGUCAGAUAAUUUGUCAGUUAUUAAUUUGUCAUCUCAUGUUAAGUGAUAACGUUGUUUUGAUAAUAAAAAUAUAUUGAAAAUAUCUUUAAAAAUAUUUAUUUAACAGUUAUUUUUGACUUAAAUGAUAAGAAUAUUUUUGUUAUUUAUGACUUGCAGAUGUGAAAAUAAUGGAUUAAAAGAGAAAAAGAUCGAGAAAAUAUAAAAAAUAUGGAUAAGGAAGAUUUUCAGCAUCAGUGGAUAAGGAAAAUUUUCCGCAUCAGGCCCAAGUUCACUACAACAACUAUAAAAAGAGAGUCAAGCCAAAGCGAUCUAUAAUGUACUCUUCAUUAUUUAUCAAUGAAAUACCACGUGUUUUCUAAUCCAUUAUCUUUUCUGCUUUUAUCUUAUUCAUCUUUGUAUUCUUUUAGGGGUUGUAUGCUUGGGAGAUGAUAACUUCUAAAUAAGAUUAUUUUAACAUCUAGACUUCAUACUUCAUGUAUUUUAUUUGUUGAGUAUUUUGCAAAGGAAGUUGGGAGAUAAAUAAAUAGAAUAGACUUGUCAUCAUGAGGAAUGGAAUUAGGGGCAAGAAUGUGGGUAAAAUAGAAUCACCUAAAUUGAUAAAGAAAAAUUAUAAACUCAUACAUCCUACGCAAACAAGGAAUGUUAGGUUCCAACAUUAUCUGAUUUUCUUUUAUUUUUAUCUUUUAUUUUUCUCAUCUUAUCUUAUUUUUUUAUCUUUAUCUUAAUCUUUUAUUGUUCUUAUCUUUUACUUUUAUUUUCUUAUUUUCUUUAUCUUUUAUUUUGGUCUUUAAAUCUUUGUCUUAUAUAUUUUUUUAUCUUUAUUUUAAAUUCUUUAUCUAUUACUUUUAAAUUGAAUUUGCAUUAAUCUAAGUACAAAUAAAGUCCGUCUGUAUUCGACACUCGAACUUCCAAAUAUUUUAUUACUUGUGACAAUUUGAUACAUUUGUCAACGAGUUGACAAAAUUGAUUUAUAAUUUAACAAAAGAUUGAAAAAAUGAUCAAAAUUACAUAAUUUUAAUGCCUAUACAACCUAAUUUUUCAAUGUAAAAAUAAAAUAAAAAAGUUUUUUCAGGACCAAAAGUCAAGAUAGGAUUUAUUUAAAACUAAAUACAAAAUCCAAAAAAAAAUGAGCAAAAUUAAAAACAUACACAAAUUGGUGCCACGUAUAUAAACAUUUCUUUUUCAUGAACCAAAAACAUGCAUGCAUUGAUGUCGCGUAUAUAAAUUUUGCGUUGAAUUACUGGUACCAACAACCACUAUUGUUUUAAGUUGCUUUAAUGAGAGAGAUUGUGUUAUUGUGGGUUAGAAUCCAUCAUUGAUAAAUAAUAUUUAUGGAUAAAAAAAUUAUUAUUUUGUGUUGCUUUAAUGAUAAUGUAGUAACUAUUAAAUUGAAGCCAGAGUAACAUAAUUAUUUUUGGGCGCCGGGUGACAUCUUCAUCCACCCUUUAACAGAUGAAUGAUGAUGAGAACCCAAGACUAUUCAGUCCUGUCUUGUUUAGAACAAGAAAAAGCCCAAUGACAUUAAAUCCACUUUAAAAAGAAGGUAUACAUCACGGGGCCCUACUGUAAGAACGUUUCAAUAAUUUAUAACGUGACAAUGCUUCCAAAUGCAAUACCACUAACCGAGGGCAUAGGUAAGCAAAAACAUUGCAUUUCGACAAAAACAAAAGAAUAGUCAAAUGUGACGCCAUGACAUUGACAUAGCUUAUUGUCAAAUUACAUCACCUACACUAAGUUUAAAUUUACAACUAUCAUGCUUAGUCAUGCUAUUAUAUACCUCUCCUAAUGAAACAAACCUAGGCUUUCUACACCUCAUAAUUAUAAUACUCAUUUUCUACAUGAAAGGCCUAAUCGAAGCCUUAACAUAGCCAAAACAACUUACCAAUAGAAUUUAGCAAGUCACAUGCAAUUUUUCAGAUUCAUUCAACAUACUUAGCUCGUGUAUGUAAAAGUGCUAAAAGGCAAUAACUUGAGAUGACAACACAGACAUCAAAACUGCUCUUACAACGUCAUUUAAGGGGAAAGUGUCGUGAAUGUGACUCAUUUACAGUCCUCAACAAACAGCUACUAAAUAAUGAAGUUUAUGAUAUUAAGCUUUCAAUGACAGAAUACCACGUGGUAUUGUAACCUAAACCAUAAAUUAGUGAUGAUUUUUUUUUCGUUCAUAUGUAAUGGAAGUGAAUGAUUUGUUUAGUUAAAGAAUUUGUAUUUGAUUAUUAUCGUGUUAAAUUAUUUUUUUUGGACAACUAACAUACAGUAAAAUUAAUCUUUGAUUCAAUAAAUCUAAAAAUAAAUAAAAAAAAAUAACAUAUUAUACAAGUAUUUAGUUGAAGCCAAAGUAGUCGAAUAUAUUACAUAAACCCCAAAAGCAACAGCUCAUAACACUAAGCUUUAGUGUCACAUGCAUGCCGAAACCUACCUGUGCAAGUGUGCAUUAAGUCACUGAAUACUGAGACAUUUAGAUGGGAAAAGGUAAUCAUCAAUAAAAAGUGUUGAUCCAUAUCAGCUACAUUAAUCUUGUUAAAUACUUUAAUACCCUCGUGUCUCAACAAAUAUCUUAUAUGACUAUUUAAUCCAAAAUUAACCCAAAACCAUAUCAGUUAAAUUUUAAGAGAAUUUUUUUGCUUUAAAUAAGUUAUAUAUUAGGCAUUUUUUGUCAAUGUGUAUGAUAAUUUUGUCAAAAUGUGACUUUUUUUACUUUAUAAAAAAUAUCUUUUUGUCUGUAGACUUAAAGUUUGAAUUUUAGUUGUCUUAUCCUCUUACUAGCACCUUACAUUUAUAUCAUUUAUAUUUUUCAUUUUUAUCAAUUCACAAUAAGUUGAAUAAUAAAUUAUAGUGCCAGGUGUUAACCAUCAAAUUUAAUAUCUUAGGUUGAUGACUUGAUUACCAUUCUGACAAGCCAGUGGUAGCCUUCUGAAGAUAUGCUUUAAAUUCAAUUUUAUAAGAGUAAAACAGAACUACAAAGAAAGCAAAAUAAGCAAUUAUGAAAUACACUCUCACCAGUUGAGUAUGCAAGGUUCAUUGCAUCAGUUAAGAAAAUAACACGAAAAAAAUAUAGAAUUAAAACUUUGACAUUAGAGAAACUAAAAAUAGAAGUACCUUGUAUAAUAACAAAUAAACAAGAAAUUGUGUCCCCACCCCUCUAAAAAAAGAAACUUAACCUAGUGCAAUUACUAAAUUGUAAACAGUAAAAACAAAAGCUGUUUUCACCUCAAUGUACAAGCCUACAAAUCAAUUUCCUCUUGCAUGAACAUCAUAAGGAGGACUACAGCUAGAGAACCUCAAAAAACAAACCUUUGGUUUUUCUUUUGGGUAAUUCAAACCAUUCAAUAUUAAUUACAAUGAACCCGGUAUACUACAAAAAGCCAGGCCACAUUGAAGACUCAUGUAAAUUUUGGUUUAGGCACAGGACCAUUAUUAUGAUGCACAGGACCAAGCUUUUGAAUCCAAUGGAGAAGCCCUUUCUUGUGAUCUUGGCAACAAGGAUUUUCCACCAGAGUCAGAGUUCCAUCAUGAGCAAGCGAAGAUUCAAAUUGUUCUAAUACCUUAACAACCUGCCAGAACUCGGGCCUCUUGUCCGGAUGCAAAGACCAACAUUGCUCGAUUAAAGCUCGCAUUGCAGGUGGACAGUCUGAAGGAAUAACUGGCCUUGCAUUCUGAAUACAGCAUCACAAAAGUAUUAGAAUUGCAUAGGUAAACAGUGUCAUUUAGCUAGCAAAAUAUUUUCCACAAUUAUCCAAUACAUGAUGAUCCUAAGAAUUCAAUUUAGCUCCAUUCUUGGUAAUCUUAUCAACUACUAUGCUACAUCACUUGAUGAAACAGAGACAUAUGUAAUAAUGACAUAUAAACUAAUGCAUGCUACAUCAAUUUUUUUUCCUCUUUUUUAAUAAGUUGGUCAUACAUGUCUAGAAUGGAUGAAAAUAAUCUCUAUAUUUCACCAUUGUUUUCAAAGCAAAGGAGGUAUCUUGCCAAGGAUUUUAGCCACAUCUCAAAAAUACAUUUGGUUUAGCUAUAAAAUAUAUAGUACUCAUCAGACGGGCUAUAAACUCAUUAGCAAUUAUUCAGUGGCAAUAUGAUUGAUUUCCUCAGCCAGGAUAAUGAUACCUCCUUUGGCAAUCAUCACUCAACAUAUUGAAAUAAAAGCUUUAAGAAAGAAAGAAAAAAUGAUGAAAAAAUGGAUGAAAAUUGAAAAGAGUAGUUAAAUCAUGAUAUAAGUGGAUGAAGCAUUGCAAAAAGGAAAAAAUGUCCUUCCAUUUACAACAUAAAAGGUUUCAACUGCUACAUCUGAGAGUAACAGUCGCUUUUAUAAAAUACAUUCAAAGAUUGCAAAACAUAUUAGUUAAUGGAGCAUGUAUUGUCUAUCUUCAAGCGAACUGUAUCAUUAAUGGAACCCAUGUCCAGUUUGCAUUACUCUUGUAUGCCAGUCAUUCAGAGAGGUUUGGGCGGAUAAAUGGGGCUGUAGACCUUUUCCUAUUAUUGACAAGAUUUCAAUGCAGAGUGCACAGAAAGCAAUGCAACUUUACAACGAGUAUUGUUACAGACAAUGAAGAAUAAUGCAACAAAUAUUAGUAGAUUGUGACAUUCACAUUACAAUUCAUAUGACUUAAUUGCGAAGAAACAUACCUUAUUUACUACGGCAAAAGCAGCCUGGAUGGGAGUCAUAUCCUCAUAUGGUAUAGUUCCAGUCACCAUUUCCCAUAAGAUAAGCCCAAAACUAUAUACAUCAACCUUUCUCCCAUAGGAUUUUCGUUUGAUCAUCUCAGGUGCCAUCCAGCGGUAGGUACCAGGGUCAUCAGCAAAUAAGUCACAGUAUGCUUCCUCACAAGCAAUGCCAAAAUCAGCAAUUUUAAGGUGAAAGUCUUCAUUGAUAAGGACAUUCUCCGGUUUAAGGUCUCGGUGAAUGACACCUUGAGAGUGUAUAUAUUCCAUUCCACGAGCAAUGUCCAGAGCAAAAGCAAUUAGCUUCCCUAGAGAAAUAGUUUUUCUUUCCAACUUAUGCAAAUAUGACCUCAACGAACCUUCUGAUAGAUAUUCUGUGAUAACACAAUAAACAUGUGGCUUUCUACAUGCUGCUACGAACUGUGUAAUCAGAUCAAGAUAAAUGAGAAGUGUGUAAGUACCAGCCUCCUAAUCACAUUAAAUUCUCUGAACAUGAUAUGAACUGCUCAAUCAGACUAUGGUAAAGAAUAUAAAAUGAAGUAUUCUUGAUUUUACUGGUGAUUAUCUCAACAUAACUAAAGGGUCAAGUACAGUAAUUAGCACAAAAUAAUGGAUAUUCUCACCCUGUAUUCAACAAGAAAAACAUAUAGUAUCUGAACAAAAGCGAAUGACAAAACUUAGAUAAAGUUCAGCAGGUGCGUGUAGUGCUGUUCUUCACUAAAAAUGUGAUAAGUGUCCCGUGUUUUUGGUACUACCUUAUCCUCCUUUAAAAAGGCUUUAAAGUUAAGGUUAAGGUGUAAAAAAACAAUACACAUACCUUGUUUUUAUCAGAAAACAACAACUGCGCCACAAGCUUGAAAAAUGAAGCAAAUAGAAGUUUGUAAACAGCAUAUACAAAAGGAGGUAAAGGAUUGGAUUAGAUUACCUUUAUAACAUUUUGAUGGUGGAGGCACGAUAAAAGCGAUACUUCUCUAAUGAAUUGUUUCUCUAAUCGAUCCACCAACAUUCCAUUUUCGUCAUCAUCCGGUACCGUGAUAAUUUUCACAGCUACAGCUUCAUCUUUAUACAUGCCAUGGUAAAGCCUGCUAUGAGCACCAUGAGCAAACCUAACACCAACAAAGAGCUUGGAGAGGUCAACAUUCCAUUCCUCAGCUGUUUCCACAGCAGUAACCUUUCCCCCUCCAUGAUCAAAGUACUUUGUCCAUCCCAAAUCCUUUCGGUGCUGCUUCGAGCUUAAUUUCAUCGAAGCAAGGUGCCUAAUUGGACUGCUGUAAGGGGAUUUAGUAGUAAUUGGACUACUGCGAGGGGAUUUGGAAUUGGACACAUGAGAAUCCUUGUUGAGCAACUUCCCCAUGAUUCUCUUGUCCUUGUUCUGUUCUUUCCUCCUUGGACCAGGUGUUGAGAACCUCUUCUGCUCAUGUCUGGCUUCCUUGAAGGUCUCAGAGAGAGAGGUUCGAGGCAAAGGGGACAAAGAUCUCUGCUUGUUCAUUAUUGGUUUCUUCUGAGCCUUGUUGGAAGCAAAAGCCACUUCAGGCCUUGAUUUCAGACUACUAGAACUGUGUUGUGCCCUUGGCUGAAUGCUGAAAGAGCCAAAUCCAGAACUGGAAUAGUUCAACCUGUGACAUACUGUGUGGGAGAAUUUGGCCCUCCUUAUCCAAGAAUUACUGCUAUCUUCAUCCAUCUUUUACCCUUUCUUCUUCAGAAGAAGAAGAAAACUAGAAGCACCUUACAAAAUCACUUUAUCCACAAUCUGAGAAAUAACUAGUCUUAAAGCCAAAAGGGUGGUGGUCCCCAAAAAACAAACUUCUCAGACUAAUUUCACACAAUCACAGGUAACUAGAUUUCCUCAAACUCAUCAACAACAACUGAGGGAUUGAACCAUGAAAAGUCAAAAAAAAAAAAUCCCAAUUGGAAUCAGAAAACCACUCAAAGCAAUCAAAACCCAGCAAGAAUGAGUUGAUGGAAAUUGGAAACCCCUCCCCCCCAAAAGAGAGAAAAAAAUCUGAAUUAAAAGCCAACAACAAACAUGCAGUGCUGUAGCGAGAGGUAACAGAAACUCCAAUCAAUCAAAAAAAAAACUUGACCUUUCAUAACCUCCUCAGCUGACACCUUUUACCAACAAAGUCAAACACCCACCACCUUCCGUAAAUGCCUGGAAAUCCCACACAGAUACCAGAAUACACUAAUCAAACCCCAAAAACAAAAAAUAUUCACUUUAAUUCAAAUCAGCAGAAAAACCACAAGUUAAAAACUAUUAGUACUUAUUUUACGUUGAUAAUGCAGAAACACCCAUCAUUAUACGUCCCCAUUGACUAACAAUAAUACUCAUUAUUUUAAAGAGUGACGAGCCAAUUAAACUAUUAUUAUAUUUCCAAAAGACCCAAAUACAGAAACAAAAAAAAAAUCAUUUUUUUAUAAAGAAAAGCAUCCCCAAAUACAAAGAAGAAAAGGGUGUCAGUAAAAUGCUAAAAUUGCAUUACCCGGAGAAAUAUCAAACCCGCGUACUACAAUUCUACAAAGGGUGUUUUUUUUGUUUUUCUUAUAUCAAAUUAUAAGAGCUUAUAAUAUGCUGAUAAAGACAGAAAUUUCCUGCACCUAAUAAAUACUCCACUUUCCACGAAGAGAGAGAGAGAAAAAAAAUCUUUUAUUUACUACUAUUAUUUUAUUAUUUUGAGAAUACAUAUACUUUGAUAAAUUUUAAAGGUGUCUUAGUAUAUUGAUUAAGAAAUUAAAGAAAUGUUUGAUAGAGAAAAAGUUUUAUUAUUUUUAAAAUUAUAUUUUUAAUAAUGAAUAAAUUUUUGUUUGAUUGGAUAUCAAAAAAUUCUAGAAAUUAAAAAAUUAUAUAAUAUAUUUACCAGUUAUUUUAAUUAUUUAUCACACUCAUAAUAAUAACAUGAUUUUUGUAUGUAAUAGAAAAAUUAAACUCGAAAAGUAAAAUUUUCAAAAACAAAAUCUUAAUUUUUAAAAACAAAUAAAAACACAGGAAACCAAGAUUUUCAAUCCUAAAUUCCUAAAAAACUUAAAACUUUUUCCUACCAAAAGACUUUUUAAAACCUCCUAAAAAGAGGAUUUUAUUAAGAUAAGUAAAAAUAUAUUUUCUAUAACUUUUUAUACACUCUUAUAAAAUCUUCAUGAAAAAUAUUCUUCUUCUAAUUUGUUAACCAAAUAUCCUUGGUCACAAGUCAGCAACAUCCAUACUUACAAUUUUAGAAUGGUCAAUGGUGAAUACGAAUGUGAACGAGUUUGGUAUGACAAACGCAGGAAAUAGAGAUUAGAGGGCGCAGAUUUUGGAAAUUGGAAGAUGAUGUUUUGGACUAGAGACGGCCAUGAUGAGGUUUGCUCCUUUGGUGGGAUGAAGGGUAACUCUGUAGGGUAGAGAUGGGGAUGGAUGUACUCAUUGUUACGUGCAGGAGAGUUAAUAUGUUUUGUAUUGCUUUCUUAGUAGAAAUAUUUAUUGUCAUUAAUUAUAUUUGGUAGGUUUUAAAUAUAAGAGAUUCUUACAUGUUCUUAUGAUAGUGUUGUUAUACCAUACUGCUUUAAUGCUUGUCUUGAUGCGUUUUUUUAUUGUUUUAAAACAUUUUAAUGAUUCUUGUGAUUAGUAAAAAAAAUGUAUUGUAAUUAAUGAUUUACCUAACUUGUGUGGCGAAUUUGCAUACUUAUAGCAAUCAAUUUAUAUAAUGAUAUGUACUAUACUGAAUCGACAAAACCUUCAUACUGUGUGGGCGGGCAUGUACAUCUCUUGUUUUAUUUAUUCUCUGAGUCUCGACAGAGAUUAAAAAAAAAAUUUACUGAUUAUCGAAGAGAAGAAUCAAGGUAAGAUCCCACACAGAAUUGUCAAAUAAGAUAAGAUUACAUUCAAAUAAGAUAAUAACAUAAUGUAAAAUUGUUAUUUGCCUAUUAGUUUCCAAGAAUAAAUAUAUGUACUUGACAAUGUAACAAUGUUUACUAUUUAAUCACAAUUUUUACCAUUACUGAUUAGUUUGUUAAUAGUUAUUUUAAAAAUUAUAUAAACAAAGAUUUAUAAUUGAUUAAUAUUGUAAAAAGAACUAAACUACAAAUAUAUCAAUAUGUAGAAAUAAAAUUCAUAUAGUAAUUAUUAAAAAAAAUUAAAAGCUAAUACAUUUGAUAAAUGGAAGGAAGUGGGAAAGGAAGGAAAAUAAAAGUCACGAGACAGAAUUGAAAGUAUGAGUUUUAUUUUUGGUUAGAAUAAUUCUAUUAUUUUUAGUAAUGUAUUUUUUAUAAAUUUUUAUUUAUUAAAUAAAGAAAGAACUAAAUACAUUAAACACAUAUUUAAAAUAUUGAAAUAUUUAAUUUUUAUUCAAUAUUUAUUUUAUAAAAUAUUCACAAAAUUAUAAGAAAAAUAUAGAGUAAUUAUGUUCAUAUUUAUUUUUUAUCUUGUUUUUAAUUAUCAUUUCUGUUUUCUUUUUUCAUCACAUCAUUUAUUAUUUUGUUCUUCUACUUUUAUUCUGCUUUCUUUCUUCUUUCUUUCUUCUUCUUCAAAUCUACUCCAAAAUGAAAGGAAUGUCUAUUGUAUUUGUUUUUAAAUAUAAUAAGAACUGCAACAUUACUUUAGAUGUGUUUAGUCUAGAGAAGAAAAAUAGAGGGAAAAAAAGAAAUAAAAAAUAUUUUUUAAAAUUAAAAUAAAAUAUAAAAGGUAUAAGUCUCACAAAAUAUAAUAUCAAUUUUUUUGAAUAUUAUUUUCCUCUUUAAACAAACAAAUCCUUUCUUCUCUAUAUUGUUUAGUUAAAAGAAAUGGUGAGAGCGUAUGGUGAAUGGAGGAAUCCAUGUGUCACUAUAGGGGAGAAUGAGGUACGGAUUCGAUUUUUGUAUAUGUUUGGUUCUGAAGAUGCAUACUUCAACGAAACUACUACACAACUUGUACGGUUGGUUGCAUUGUACGAUACGGUUCCCAAAACAAAACUAAACCCAUUUGGCCACCAAACGGUACGAAUCUACAUAACUUUGUACCUUGUUUACCCAAAAAAUAAGAAAUGAAAUCGACUUAAUUUAACACUUAUUGUCACAUUACUUGUUUGUUUCGAUGUUAAUGGCCUCUUAUGCUGUCUUAAUUAAUAAGAACAAGAUAUAAAUCUCAUUAGAAAUUAUAUUAUUGGCUUAAGUUAGAGAAGACAAAUACAUGGGGACAUGGGGUGAUGGGGGAAGCCUUUGCUUGCACUUAAUGUCAUUGGAAAAAUUUAAAAAUUAAGAAAUGCAAUAUUCAAUUAUUAUUUCCCAAUGGCCAAACAAAAUAUCCUUAUUGUACGGAUUUUGAAUCUCCAUUCAAUAUUAAAUGGUGAGUGAUUAUGAUUUUUUGAAAAUAAAAUAAAAUAAAAAGGUAGAUGAAGAUGGCAUAUAUAUGAUAAGAGUUAUUAGUUUUACCCAUGCAACCAUCUAUUAGAAUAUUAGUUGAACAUAUUUCCCGUGACAUGGAGAAGAACAAUUCCUAUUUUUUCAUAUAUGUUGAAAAUUUUCAUACCUUGCAGGCAGGCAUGGAAAACUUGACCUUGCACAGUCACACAUAUAUGAUAGGAGAGAGAAAGA
rnacentral:lncRNA from 1 species